ensembl:miRNA
UUUAAUACCAGUGCCAAUCAAUUAUAUUUGAGGUUUUCCUAAGAAAAUUGAUUGGCACUGGUAUUAAAAU